CAACUUUGGAGUAACUGUGUGACAUUUUGGGAAGUUUCGUUGUGCCAUCUUCAAGCCUGGUUUUCAGUUUUGGCGCAGGAGGGCCAAACUCCAGAGGGGCUGGCUUUGCUUGUUAAAGAUGGUGAGACUGCCAUGAGACCAAACACACCUGUACGACUGCGCUCAGAGUAGUGCACAAAAAUCAGUUCUUGGACAUAAUGGAUCACAUCUACAGAAGACCUGAACUACAAAGAGUGUUAAGAGUGCUAAACCAAAAGGAGGACCGAGAUCUGCAACGUAAGCUAAUCAUGUUGGAUAAACAGCACCGAUACACCCAGAAAAUGCUUCAACAGCGAAGGGAC